GAGCGGCGCGGCGCGGCGGAUGUCAGGCCUGCGGCUGCCCGCACAGCAGAAGCGUGUUGACCAGCGCCGAGUGCGAACCGAAGCAACCUCGUCCCCAACUUUAAACUGCCCCACCGCGCUUGGCGCUCGCCAUCCUGCUAGGGACAUGUUUCCCAUCUGGCAGAGGGUACUCAAAAUCCAUGGCUGCCCUUUGGCUUGGAGCAGAGCAGUCAGGGAACAGGUGCCCAGGUUACACAGAUGACUGCUAGGACCCUGCAUACCUGCUCACCUCCUCCAUGAAAUUGACCUGGAGUGCAGGAGCUGAAGGUUGCCCCUGCCCCCGCCCUCUGCCAAGCAAAGGGCAUGAGGGUCUUGCUAUGCAGUUCAGGAUGGCCUUGGACUCAC